rnacentral:rRNA from 1 species
UGCAGUCGAGCGGACGGAUGGGAGCUUGCUCCCGGAAGUCAGCGGCGGACGGGUGAGUAACACGUGGGCAACCUGCCUGUAAGACUGGGAUAACUUCGGGAAACCGGAGCUAAUACCGGAUAAUUCUUUUCCUCACAUGAGGGAAAGCUGAAAGAUGGUUUCGGCUAUCACUUACAGAUGGGCCCGCGGCGCAUUAGCUAGUUGGUGAGGUAACGGCUCACCAAGGCAACGAUGCGUAGCCGACCUGAGAGGGUGAUCGGCCACACUGGGACUGAGACACGGCCCAGACUCCUACGGGAGGCAGCAGUAGGGAAUCUUCCGCAAUGGACGAAAGUCUGACGGAGCAACGCCGCGUGAGUGAUGAAGGUUUUCGGAUCGUAAAACUCUGUUGUUAGGGAAGAACAAGUACCGGAGUAACUGCCGGUACCUUGACGGUACCUAACCAGAAAGCCACGGCUAACUACGUGCCAGCAGCCGCGGUAAUACGUAGGUGGCAAGCGUUGUCCGGAAUUAUUGGGCGUAAAGCGCGCGCAGGCGGUUCCUUAAGUCUGAUGUGAAAGCCCACGGCUCAACCGUGGAGGGUCAUUGGAAACUGGGGAACUUGAGUGCAGAAGAGAAGAGUGGAAUUCCACGUGUAGCGGUGAAAUGCGUAGAGAUGUGGAGGAACACCAGUGGCGAAGGCGACUCUUUGGUCUGUAACUGACGCUGAGGCGCGAAAGCGUGGGGAGCAAACAGGAUUAGAUACCCUGGUAGUCCACGCCGUAAACGAUGAGUGCUAAGUGUUAGAGGGUUUCCGCCCUUUAGUGCUGCAGCAAACGCAUUAAGCACUCCGCCUGGGGAGUACGCCGCAAGGCUGAAACUCAAAGGAAUUGACGGGGGCCCGCACAAGCGGUGGAGCAUGUGGUUUAAUUCGAAGC